CCCCUUCUCCCGCUUUGGGACGCCGGUGUGGCGGGACACCCCCGGCACUACCAGUUUCCUCCGCCCAGGCGGGAGGAGGCUCCUCUCUCCGUCCGAGGGCCGCCUUUCAUCCGCGCGCUCCGGCCUGGCCGGGGGCCGUUUCCAUUCCUGGAGACCCCGGGGUGAAAGAAUGAGAGGAGCCGGCAAGAGGGCGCCGCGCCCCUCCCCCGCCGGCCCCGUCCCCCCUCCCCGCGAGUCCGCUUCCCCCUCGCUGGGCACCGCGGUGCUGCCGAGCCACCGCGCGCUGGCGCAGCCGCAACCGCCUCCCCCUCCUCCGGCCCGAGCCCAGUCCUCCUCCUGGGCGCCGGCUGGCCGGGCUCCGCCGCGCAAGGAAAGGAGCCCACUCCCGGUGAGCGCCUCCUGCUGUUACCGCUAGCCUGGUGCCCUCCCUCCCUCCAUCCGUUCACUCACUCUCUCUCACUCACACGUCCCUGUUUUCGUUUGUGCGAGAAGUUUAUGGAGCACCUACGAGUGCCCAGCACGGUGGAUCAAAGUUCAAAUUCUUCCCAGGAUGAUUCCCCAACCUAGGCGAGUAAUCAAGUAGCAAUAGCAUCAAUGAAGCAAGGGCUGAAACUCAGAGCAAAGAGAGAGAGAGAGAGGCGGUGCGCGCGGCUGGGCCAGGCUGAGGGUCGCAAAGUCUGGCGGGAGAAGGCAUGUGCCCGGGGAACUGGCGGGAGAAUGCAAGAAGGAUCUUGAGGCAGCUAUGACGGGAUAUACAAACGCAUAGUGGCAAAGAAGCACGGGGACCUAGGAGCUGCGCGGACCUUAGGGUGUCGGAUGAGGAGGAAGGAAAAGAAUGAAAACAAAGACCAGGCUAAAGUGGCAGGCAGAGGUUCAUCAGGAAGCAGGGCAGCUCUGUCUGGUCGUCCACGUUUCCACCAUACUAAGAGGGAGGGCUCACCCGUGUUCCACCCACCAAGCUGUGUGCCCUGCCUAGAGGUGGUGACUUUUUCUCAUUUGUACAGAGGCACUAUUUGAGCUAAAUUGACUGAAGAGCCUCGUGGGCUAAGUAAGGAUUUAAGGUUUUUACCCUGAAACUGAAGAGAAGCUAAUUGUAUUAGUCAAGGUUCUCUAGAGACACAGAAUCAAUAGGAUAUAUGUAUAUAAUACAUAUGAGAGAGAGAGAGAAAUGGAGAAAGAGAUUUAUUUUAAGGAAUUGUUUCAUUCUGUUGGAAAUGCCGUCGAGUCCAAAAUCUACAGGGUGGCCUGACAUGCUGGAGACCCAGAGAAGAUAGCAGUUCGAGUCCAGAGGCAGUCUGCUUGCAGAAUUCCUUCUUCAUCAGAGGCAGCCCAAGCAGACAUGAUCAUCUCCAUCCUUCAGAUGAAGAAAGUGAGGCUCCUGAGGCGGACAGAUACCUCAGCACGGGCGGCAAGCUGGGACAAUGGGAGACCAGACCCAGGCUGAUUUUAGCCCCAGCGCAUCAGUGGUUUCACAGCCCUUUGACAACUGCCCUUAAAAAAAAGGUUAUAGAAAAUUUCAAGAAUGAAGAGAGGGAGGAGAGAAAGAA